rnacentral:rRNA from 1 species
UACGGAGGGUGCAAGCGUUGCUCGGAAUUACUGGGCGUAAAGGGCGUGUAGGCGGUUUCGUAUGUCUGGCGUGAAAGCCCCGGGCUCACCUCGGGAAGUGCGUCGGAAACUGCGAGACUAGAGUCCCGGAGAGGAAGGUGGAAUUCCAGGUGUAGCGGUGAAAUGCGUAGAUAUCUGGAAGAACACCGGUGGCGAAGGCGGCUCACUGGCUCGUUUCUGACGCUCAGGCGCGAUAGCGUGGGGGAUCAAACAGG